CACGUAGUUAGCCGGAGCUUCUUCUGCAGGUACCGUCUUGGAUCUUCCCUGCUGAAAGCGGUUUACAACCCGAGGGCCUUCGUCCCGCACGCGGCGUUGCUGCGUCAGGGUUUCCCCCAUUGCGCAAAAUUCCCCACUGCUGCCUCCCGUAGGAGUCUGGGCCGUAUCUCAGUCCCAAUGUGGCCGGUCGACCUCUCAGUCCGGCUACCCAUCGCGGGCACGGUGGGCCGUUACCCCGCCGUCUACCUAAUGGGCCGCGACCCCAUCCCGCGCCGUCUCGGCUUUCCCGGCAGGGCCAUGGGGCCCUCCCGGAGUAUCCGGUAUUAGCCGCCGUUUCCAGCGGUUGUCCCGGAGCGCGGGGCAGGUUGGUCACGUGUUACUCACCCGUUCGCCACUCUAUGUCCGCCCGAGGGCGGUUUAAUCGUUCGACUUGCAUGUGUUAGGCACGCCGCCAGCGUUCAUCCUGAGCCAGGAUCAAACUCU
rnacentral:rRNA from 1 species